rnacentral:lncRNA from 1 species
ACGAGCAGUUAUAAAUAAGCAUAUAUAAAUAAAACGGGCACCUGCCCGGAAUUGUCAUAAAUAUCAAACGGGGACAAAAGCCCACUUGUUCCAAAAUUACAAACCAUGGCUCAAAGGCCCCAAAAAUCAAAGAGACAAAAAUAAAUUACAUUAGAAAGGUCGGGGACAUCUACUCCUCGCACCUAUCUUCCUGCUCAUUCACGUCAUCUUGCUCAUCUUCAUGACCCUCUUCGAACACCCCCUCAGCGUCUUCCUCCUCUUCAUCAGAGUCGGCCAGGCCAGC